UCUCUGCAGAGGGGAGGAUCCCUUGCUCUGGACUGCCGGGAAGGUCGUUAGUAAUUUUAUUUCACUUUGACAAUGAAGGAUUCUGCUCCAUUUUUCAAAGUCUUGCUCAGAAUUUCCUCCCUGGCUCCUCCUCCCUACAUCCCUGCUGAGGGGCCGCCCGGCCAGCAGGAAGUGCUUCCUGUGCUGGGUAAAAGCUAUCGGAUGACAGGCCGAACCCCUUCCAAGGCAACAUCGGAAAGCUGAGCCUCCCGGUCCUUCCUCUCAGGGUUAAUGGGAUGGGUACCCAGCUCUGGUUAGUGUUUUUCUUCUGCCCAAGAAACAUAAAGUGUUUGAAAGAGUUGCUGGAAAAACCAACGAAGCCGGUUUUCUUUUUCAUGCCUUCUUCCGGGCAGCUCAGGAGCCUGCUCUCAUGAACUUGCCCUCUGGCUCUGGUCUCGCUCACACAAUUGAAAAUCUUUAUGGAAUCUCUGCUCUGUGCCUCUGAAACUUUUUUUAAAAAUCAGAACUCAAUGUGCUUCGAGCCAGCCGCCCCCCUCUGCCCGGGGGCAGGGCCGUGUUGGUUUUGCCCAGCACCUGGAGGAUCCUGGCACUUGGUAGGUGCUUUGUGAAUGCUGACAGAAGGAAUAAACGCUGCUUCCUGCCGGGCUGUAUCAAUA